UCUACGGGAGGCAGCAGUGAGGAAUAUUGGUCAAUGGGCGAGAGCCUGAACCAGCCAAGUCGCGUGAGUGAGUACUGCCCUAUGGGUUGUAAACCUCUUUUGUCGGGGAGCAAAAGCCGGACGUGUCCGGCUGUUAAAGUACCCGAAGAAAACGCAUCGGCUAACUCCGUGCCAGCAGCAGCGGUACUACGGAGGAUGCGAGCGUUAUCCGGAUUUAUUGGGUUUAAAGGGUGCGCAGGCGUAUUUUUAAGUCAGCAGUCAAAUCGUGGGGCUAAAACCCAGCCAGCCGUGGAAACUGGGGAUCUAGAGUGUGCGAGAGGUAUGCGGAAUGCGUGGUGUAGCGGUGAAAUGCAUAGAUAUCACGAAGAACCCCGAUUGCGAAGGCAGCUUACUAAACUGUGACGGACAUUGAUGCUCGAAAGUGUGGGUAUCAAACAGGAUUAGAUACCCCUGUAGUC
rnacentral:rRNA from 1 species